GUAGUAGACACAAGACUUUCUCAGUUGGUGGAAGGAACAGAAAUUGUCAUCCUUAUUCCAACGUUUAAUUUUAUACUCUGGUGGAGAGACUGGCAAAAGAACAAAGCCAUUCAAGAUGUGCAUUUAAAAUGCAUAAAGGAAGUAAAGGAAAACUCAAAAGUGCUCAUUCCCCGUGUUGUUGGACACAAAACCCCAGAAUCUGGAAACCAC